rnacentral:rRNA from 1 species
AUACCCUGGUAGUCCAUGCCGUAAACGGUGGGAACUAGGUGUGGGUCUCAUUCCACGAGAUCCGUGCCGCAGCUAACGCAUUAAGUUCCCCGCCUGGGGAGUACGGCCGCAAGGCUGAAACUUAAAGGAAUUGGCGGGGGAGCACCACAACGGGUGGAGCUUGCGGUUUAAUUGGAUUCAACGCCGGAAAUCUUACCGGGACCGACAGCAAUAUGAAGGCCAGGCUGAAGACUUUGCCGGAUUAGCUGAGAGGUGGUGCAUGGCCGUCGUCAGUUCGUACUGUGAAGCAUCCUGUUAAGUCAGGCAACGAGCGAGACCCACGCCCACAGUUGCCAGCGUACUCUCCGGAGUGACGGGUACACUGUGGGGACCGCCGCUGCUAAAGCGGAGGAAGGAAUGGGCAACGGUAGGUCAGUAUGCCCCGAAUAUCCCGGGCUACACGCGAGCUACAAUGGUUGGUACAGUGGGUAUCUACCCCGAAAGGGGAUGGAAAUCUCCUAAAGCCAAUCUUAGUUCGGAUUGAGGGCUGCAACUCGCCCUCAUGAAGCUGGAAUCCGUAGUAAUCGC